rnacentral:lncRNA from 1 species
AAGAGAGAUUGACGCAUCGGGAGCGAAGAACAGAAACGAUGGAUGGUUACGCUGCUUGGGUCUCGGCACGUUCGAAUUGGCAAAGUUCCGAAUUUGUCGCUGUGUUUUGUACGCUUGUGCGCUCGUCAUUUGCCGUCAUCGCGCGGAGAUAUUUGCGCUGGAUGUCUUUCACUUCGUGUACAAAACUCUGCACGCUGCGGCAUCGAAGAAGUUGUCCUGUGUUUGGGUGCACGUAUGCGCUUGGACACGGAUAUAUCCUGCUUGCUCUCAACGGGUGUUCAACAGUCUACGCGCACUCGUAACUUGCUCAUGAGGCAAGUUGCUGUUGUGCUGGAGCUGAGAAGAGGUCUGCUGCCUGCAAUGGGUCCAUCUCUCUCAAGUUAUCGCAGUAUUGUAGCUCUCAAAGUUCAAAAAAGUAUGGUGGAAGCUGUUGCCAAGGUUCCGACCAGAAAAGACAGCCAGUAUAAAAGGGUCCACACCACUGAUCUCUACUACAGGGCAUGGACAGCACAUCGAGCACCCUCGACUGAAGCCAACCUUGUCCCGGAAGUUGGUGCUUCACAACUUUGUGGCAGCACUUCGUUU